rnacentral:rRNA from 1 species
AUUAAACGCUGGCGGUAUGCUUAACACAUGCAAGUCGAACGGCAUCACGUCACUUCUUUUCGGAGAGGUGAUGGUGGCGAGUGGCGGACGGGUGAGUAACGCGUAGGAAUCUACCCUAAAGUGGGGGAUAACCCGAGGAAACUCGGGCUAAUACCGCAUAAUCUCUAAGGAGCAAAGCUGGGGACCAAAGUUUACUUUGGCCUGGCGCUGUAGGAUGAGCCUGCGUCGGAUUAGCUAGUUGGUGGGGUAAUAGCCUACCAAGGUAACGAUCCGUAGCUGGUCUGAGAGGAUGAUCAGCCACACUGGGACUGAGACACGGCCCAGACUCCUACGGGAGGCAGCAGUGGGGAAUAUUGGACAAUGGGCGCAAGCCUGAUCCAGCAA